AAUCCAUGUUGUGGGAACUUUCGCAAAAGAUCCUUGGAUCAUUCCCAUGUCUCAAACAAAGACUCGGGCUCCAUCUGAACAAACAACGAUAUCUCAUUAUGAAGAUU